GAUGAACGCUAGCGACAGGCCUAACACAUGCAAGUCGAGGGGCAGCACAUGAGUAGCAAUACGAUGGUGGCGACCGGCGCACGGGUGAGUAACACGUAUGCAACCUGCCUGUAAGAGGGGAAUAACCCGGAGAAAUUCGGACUAAUACCGCAUAAUACCACGAGACUGCAUGGUUUUGUGGUUAAACAUUUAUGGCUUACAGAUGGGCAUGCGUAUGAUUAGAUAGUUGGUAGGGUAACGGCCUACCAAGUCUACGAUCAUUAGGGGUUCUGAGAGGAAGGUCCCCCACACUGGUACUGAGACACGGACCAGACUCCUACGGGAGCAGCAGUGAGGAAUAUUGGUCAAUGGGCGAGAGCCUGAACCAGCCAAGUCGCGUGAAGGAAGAAGGUUCUAUGGAUUGUAAACUUCUUUUGCAGGGGAAUAAAGGACGGUACGUGUACUGUUUUGUAUGUACCUUGCGAAUAAGGAUCGGCUAACUCCGUGCCAGCAGCCGAC
rnacentral:rRNA from 1 species